rnacentral:lncRNA from 1 species
GCGGGACAGGAAGUUCCUCCCUUCUCCAGAGCGCCGUCGACCCCACGCCACGCAGAGGUGAAGAUACGCAGGACGUCCUCUAAAGCAACUUCCGUGGGUGCCAGGUUGUGGGCUGGGGGCGGUGCUGACCUUGAGAGAGCGGAGGAGGCGCAGGCGCAGCACAGUUUAAACUUGAUUUUGUGAGGGGACGAACAGCGUGACAAUUAAAAGAAGAUCUGGGAAUCGAAUACCCAUCUCGAGUUCUGGAUAUGUGCUCUGAGAAGGUGCCCAUGUCACCGACCACACUGGAGGCCAAUGCAGAUACUGGGGGAAGGUUCCAUGGUAGCUAAGUGUGGACAAGCUAAUCACUGAAGUUCCCUGAUGCAGAGUUGAUAAUCUCUCUAGAGUUGGAUGAAAGACUGUGCUGCCUUGAAGCUCUGAGAGAUGCCAUGCCAAUUCAAGGCAGGGUCUUUAUUGUUGAAACUCUUGCGUAAUGACAUCUUUAUUCAGGUGAAAAUACAGGAUGAAUUUCAACUAUAUGAUAUUGUUUAUGUUCCUCAGACAUGUUAUUUGUCUUUACAAAGAUUGGUUUCAAUAAACUGUGUGACUGAUAUUAAAUAAACAUGGAAUUUUACACAUUCAUAAUAUUUGGUUUCUU